UACGUAGGUGGCAAGCGUUGUCCGGAUUUACUGGGCGUAAAGGGCGUGCAGGCGGUUUGUUAAGUGCAGGGUGAAAGCUCCCGGCUCAACUGGGAGAGGUCCUUGCAUACUGGCAAACUCGAGGGAGGCAGAGGAAAGUGGAAUUCCCGGUGUAGUGGUGAUAUGCGUAGAUAUCGGGAGGAACACCUGUGGCGAAGGCGGCUUUCUGGACAUUUACUGACGCAUG
rnacentral:rRNA from 1 species